AUACCAUUUCUUAAUGAGGCCACACCAGAAAUUGGACUGCAAGGGAAUAAAUCCUAAAUGCAUCUUAUUUUUAUGGGAAGAUAUCUUGGCUGAAGUAUGAAAAGAGAGCAGAAACAAGAUACUAUUCUCCUGCGCCUGCCCUACAGAGGUGUUCUGUUGAGUCCUUGGUGUUACAGCAGUUCAAAGUCCUUUGCUUCCACUGUGUUGUAAGUAUUCACUGCAAGGGCUGGAAUUGCCACUCAUGGCUGCUGAAGGGUACCCAGCUAGCUUUGAUUUAUUACAAGGCUUUCAAAAAGCAUGUUAAAAUUCACUUGCUGAAUGUUCAGCUUCUCUUCUUGUUGAAAAGCAGAAGCUGUAAUCAUAAAUAAUAGUACCUUAAUCUAUUAGUGGUCUUACUAACAGUUGCACAGAACACUUAAUAAUGAAAUAACAUUUUAAGCUAUAAAUACUAAAUCAAGAUGGAAACAGAUUGUCUUAUACCUCAAUAUAAAUUGCAGAUACAAUACAACCUAAAAUUCAAGCUGAGAUUUAAGAUGAUUCCCAGAUACUUAAAUUCCAAGGCAUAAUUUAAUAUGGGUCUAGCUAAAGUACUAAUGUUUAAUUGCUCCUUACAAGAGCUCUUUCAACAGAAGACUUGAUUAUGCCUAAACCAGGCCAGAAUGAUAUUAAAAUCAUACUGCAGAGCAAUAUAAAUUUGACCUAUCACUGAUGCAGCUCCAUAAAGAAUGGCACCAUCUUCGUGGAGAACCAUUCAUUUAUAUUUUAUUUCUAUUUUGUACAAACUUGAUAGCUUCAAGGAAAUAAGCUCUCAGAAAGAGCAGCUGAUAUACUGAAAGCCUGAGAAUUUGUUUAAUCAAUGUAUUUUCUUUGUAAUUAGGUAACAUGAAAAUGAGCAACCUUGAAUAUCUAUUAUGCAGAUAGUCCCUUUUAACAAAACUUUGCAACAUUCAGUUAUAUUUUGGUAUGUUUGAGCUGGGUCAAGACAGUAAUCACAACUCAGCAAUAAGUAGGGUCUGAGUGGAUCUCAGGAGAUCAUAAACUGUACCCCACUUCCUUAGACAGAAAGCACUUGUACCUUCAACAUUCACAAAGAGUGAGGAUUAACCCGCUACCACCACAUCCCCAGGAAACGUGUGGAUUUAUCAUCCUUACUGGACACUUAGAAAAACCUGUUCAAACUAAGCAUUUCUUGUUGAAGUUUAAACCUGCUUCUUGUCCAAAUGUCCCUAAGGAUAAAUUUUCUUCCCUAAGGAUAAACUAUUUUCUUCCCUGGAUCAUUUUGAAAAUUUUUGCCAAAGUCUCCUUCUCUCCAGGCUUUCUUAGACUAAAAACCUCAACUUUUUCACUCCUUUAUUUUUCAACUUCUAACCAGAUUGUCUGGACUUGUUUGGACCCCCUAUCAAUUUGAAUCCUACUGCGCAUGGGUAAAGCUGAGGUUCUGUCAAUUCCAGCCAUGGCGGACAGUUCACUUCUCAUAUUUUGCAUACCAGAGACAACUCAACAUACCGCCUGGUGUGUUCUUUCUCAAAAGAAGGAUACUGUUGACUAAUGCUGAGUGUGUUGUUCCCAGAUCUUUUUUGGAAAUGUUGCUGAACAAGUUCCUCAUCAUUUGUUUGCACAGUUGAUUAUUUUUGCCCAAGGGCAAUAUUUUGCAGUUGGUUUUGAUUAAUUUCUUACAUUUUUCUUUUCCAAGCUGCUUCUCCAUUUGUCAAGGUUGCUUUGGUUUGUAACACUGUACCCCAGUAAAGUCACUGCUACACAUCAUGAUGCUAUGAGUAAAGAUCAACUGUAUGCUCUGGUCUUUUAUCCAGGCUAUUAAUGAAAACAUUGAACACAUUCAUAACCAAAAUAGACCUUUGAGGAACCAAUUCUUUACAUACCUUCACCAAAUCUGACAACUACUCUCUUAGUGUAUUUAUCACUCAGUUUUACAACUGUUCUGUGUUAAUUAAAUAAAUUAUGAUAUCUUGUCUAAAUAAUAUAAAAAACAGUGUCAAAAAACCUUACGAAAGUUAUCUACUGCUAUGCUCUAUUUGUGUAGCCAAUUACCACAAAGAGAAAUAUAGGAAUUAUAAAAAUAGCAAUUGAAAAUUAAAUAUCCUAUGGAAUCUCAACAUUCACUUAUUUAUUGUAACUCUCUCUUUUCUGCCCCUUCCCAUUCCUGCCUAUUUUACAAGGCAAUUUCACCCUUUUUUUUUUUAAUAUAUUUCUUCUGCCUUAAAGUGAUACAAUUUUUUCUGCGUGACAACAGGACUGGAAGAGGCCUAAGGUGGGAGUGCUUUUCUCUGGUCCAUGGAGCACCUUUCACAGAAGGACUGAACUCAGUGUCUAGGGAAAUACAUGAGUGGCCCAAGCAGGAGAUUCCAAGUCAUUCCAUUCUAAGUCUGUUCUGUAAUGUUAUGCUAUGUACAGCCAUUUUGGAUGCUAUAGGGUUAGAGGACCUUGCUGAUAUACAGGAGAACACAAAAGGUCCAAAAGAAAGCUAAUUUUUUUAGAUAUCAACAUGCUUCCGAAACCUACUCCCAGUAGCCUUCUGGUCAUAAGCAAUUAGGAUCCGUAGGCUUUCUACUCAUAAAAUGAAGAUUUUUUUUACACCCUGAACCUCACUUUGUCUUGAAAGUGAGUAACUGGGACAGGUUAUGUAACGAGAGGCUAUCCCAUGUUUAUGCAUACAGCCUGCUCCAUGUCUCCCAGGAGAUGGAUGGAGGCACACAUCACCCAGCCAAGCAAUAGGAUGGGGACUGAAUGUACAGCUUGCAAAAACUUCUAGAUAUAGAACAUCUUUCAUUCCCUUUUCCUGCCCAAGGAAAAGAGACUAUUCUGGGUAUGGAAUACAAUGAAGAAGACAGAAUAAGAGAGGCCCCAUGAGAAUCCACAUGCCCCAGAAAGGAACAAAACUCAAGCAAGCUAAUAGAAUACCCACAGGAAUUUCCAUCUUCUGACAGUGCCUAGAUGCACCUCAGCUGGAGCUAAAACCAUCCUUUUAAUCCUUCCUAAACCAAAAAUCAUGGUGCUUCCCCAGGCAACAAUAAUCUACUUGUAUUAUCAAUUAUCAUGGUACUGUACUUAUCUGGAAUUGAUGCCAUAUGCAAAUCAUUCCAUUACUUACCCUUUGAAACCAAGGUAAGAACCUGAAAUGACACUAUGCAAAGGAUCCAAAGUUCAUAGUAGAUCAGUUCAUAGUAGAAUUCUGCCUAAGAAGGAGUUUUGGGCUCCAGAAGAAGAGCUCUAUGCAAGACCUCCCAGGUAUGGAAGACUGAAAAAAACAAAACACAAACAAACAAAAAAACAACUGCCCAAAAAAACCCCAAACCACCACCACCACCAUGACUCACCAAAACAAAGAAAAAAAAUACAAUAUUUUAAAAUUACUAUUUAGCUCAAUGUAGUGUAAUUCUACAGUAUAAUGGAAAAAAAACUCGGGAUGGACAGUAUCUCCCAACCUGGGGGGUUGUUUCAUAACUUUUCAAUUUCUUAAAAUAUUGAGAAAAGUAUUAAAUCAAAAGGAUUUUUCCCCCUAGACAUGUAUCAUUUGGAGGAAUAUUCUGCAGCAGACUGUGACUUCUGACCUGAAUCCAGCAGAAAAUCAGCAAGUCCAUAAAGAUGAACCUGGACACAUCCAGUCUGAAAACAAGAUCAAAGUCAGGGCUGCAGAGUUAGUUUCUUAAUUAAGGCAAUUUGAGUAAAAUAACGAAGGCGGAAGUCACAUUUCUGCAAAAGCAAUUUGGCAGAAGGGCUAGCCCUCUUCUUUAUAGUACUUCAGAUGAAAAAGGAAGACGUUAUUAGUUGCUUUCUUUGUUAAGUGUUUGAAUUGAAACCUUGGUGCCACUCGUUUACUAUUUGCCAGUAGCGCUGAGUGAGUAAUUCUCUGCCUGUAAUUUCUUCGACUAAAUUAGCCUCUUUUUCUUCUCAUGGAAUAUCCAUCAGCAGAUCAUGAUUUUCUCAUUUAAACGUACUCAACAAAUAAGUCUGAAUUUUUCCCUGCAAACAGAUUGCAAAUAUUUGAAAUUCAAGCUGCAUCAUUUAUUUAGGAUUGGUAAAUCAGGUCACACUGUUUGUUCUCUCCAACUGAAGCAGUGUGAGGAACACUACUUCCUGUGCACAGAGUUGUGUGUUCCUCCUCAAAAUCAGACUUCCAUAAAUGCUCGUGGGAAACAAAAUUUGCAUUAUUUCUUUUUAUACACCUUUCUGCUAAACCUAAAUCUCAAUUGAUUGUUCUUUCACCAAAAAGCAAAUUUGAAUGGAUUCUGUUUGACUAUGGGUAAAGAGAAUUAAUUUAAGAAUUGUAAUGAUUAAUUGUGGAUAUUUUUUUUGUAUUAUUCAUGACAUGUUUGUUUAUUUACAAAGAAUGAAUUAGAUAAAAAAGGCCUUCAGUCCUUAAAACAUCCUUACAAAAGACAGAAAAAUACCAAAAUAACAAAAAAUAUUAAAAAAAAUAUUUCCAGUAUUCAAAGAGGGGAAUGCUGAAUCAUACAGCAAAUUUGGCAAGAGCAGAGAAACAGGAAAAUCCAUCACUCAAUUUUGCAUCAUUAAUCAAAAAACACACUUUAACAAGCCAUGAAUAAGCUCCAAUCUACAGUUUUUGUUUUCUUUCCACAGAGCAACAGGAUUCUGGUUAAGGAGGUUCCUUGUGGACGAUAAUUGCUAUGCUGUUUGCAAAUGUUGGUAUAAUUUGGAAGUGUAAAAUUAUUGUCACAUGAUGGUACCAUGGAUUCAGCUAGUCCACUGUUGA